UACGUAGGGUGCAAGCGUUGUCCGGAAUUAUUGGGCGUAAAGAGCUCGUAGGCGGUCUGUCGCGUCGGCUGUGAAAACCCGAGGCUCAACCUCGGGCCUGCAGUCGAUACGGGCAGACUAGAGUUCGGUAGGGGAGACUGGAAUUCCUGGUGUAGCGGUGAAAUGCGCAGAUAUCAGGAGGAACACCGGUGGCGAAGGCGGGUCUCUGGGCCGAUACUGACGCUGAGGAGCGAAAGCGUGGGGAGCGAACAGG
rnacentral:rRNA from 1 species